rnacentral:rRNA from 1 species
AUUGAACGCUGGCGGCAGGCUUAACACAUGCAAGUCGAGCGGAGAGAGGUAGCUUGCUACCGAGCUUAGCGGCGGACGGGUGAGUAAUGCUUAGGAAUCUGCCUAUUAGUGGGGGACAACAUUUCGAAAGUAAUGCUAAUACCGCAUACGUCCUACGGGAGAAAGCAGGGGAUCUUCGGACCUUGCGCUAAUAGAUGAGCCUAAGUCGGAUUAGCUAGUUGGUGGGGUAAAGGCCUACCAAGGCGACGAUCUGGAGCGGGUCUGAGAGGAUGAUCCGCCACACUGGGACUGAGACACGGCCCAGACUCCUACGGGAGGCAGCAGUGGGGAAUAUUGGACAAUGGGCGCAAGCCUGAUCCAGCCAUGCCGCGUGUGUGAAGAAGGCCUUAUGGUUGUAAAGCACUUUAAGCGAGGAGGAUGCUACUUUAGUUAAUACCUAGAGAUAGUGGACGUUACUCGCAGAAUAAGCACCGGCUAACUCUGUGCCAGCAGCCGCCGUAAGAC